rnacentral:sRNA from 1 species
GCGGGCAUGGUGGCACAUGCCUGUAAUCCUGGUGACUUUGGAAGCUGAGGCAGGAGGAUCACAAGUUCAAAGCUAGCCUCAGCAACAGCAAGGCGCUAAGCAACUCAGUGAGACCCUGUCUCUA